UACGUAGGGCGCAAGCGUUGUCCGGAAUUAUUGGGCGUAAAGAGCUCGUAGGCGGCUUGUCACGUCUGCUGUGAAAUCCCGGGGCUCAACCCCGGGCGUGCAGUGGAUACGGGCUGGCUAGAGGCAGGCAGGGGAGAACGGAAUUCCCGGCGUAGCGGUGAAAUGCGCAGAUAUCAGGAGGAACACCAACGGCGAAAGCACUCUGCUGGGCCGACACUGACACUGAGAGACGAAAGCUAGGGGAGCGAAUGGG
rnacentral:rRNA from 1 species